rnacentral:sRNA from 1 species
GCCAGGUGGGGUGGCACACGCCUGUAAUCCCAGCAGCUCAGGAGGCUGAGACAGGAGGAUUGUGAGUUCGAAGCCAGCUUCAUCUACUUAGUAAGGCUCUAAACUACUCAGUGAGACCCUAUCUCUA